rnacentral:misc_RNA from 1 species
GAAGCCUCGUAUCUGUGGGUAGAGUUAACACGUUAUACAACGUAAUGAUGAAAUAAUAAUGAAUAAAGGAGGUGAACACAGAGCAAGUGUGCCCAGAUAACACUGUGCUGCGGCUGGAGGGGGGACCAAUGUAUCCUAGAGCCACACACUCUCUGUCUCUCCUCACUCCAGCGACGCCUCGCGCUCACAACUGUUGUUGCUCCUGCACCUUCGUCAAGGCUAUUGCAUUAUCUAAAAAAAUAAUAAAAAUAUUUUUGCCAAAAAAUCAUGCCAUUUAUCAAAUAUUGGACUUUAUUAGUGCUUGGACUUGGAGCAGUCAAUCAGUGUGUCAGUAAUGAACACCACAGAACCCCACAAGAUGAUAACAGGUUUGGAAGUACAUCUGAACACGUUGGUAAAGCCAUAGCAGAUUCUCUGGAUAGUAAAUCUGAGCGUAGAUUUGUCCAAGCGGCCAAGGCUGUGGAUGGGUCGAGACGUACCAUGCAGAUGGUGGAGAUCCCUGGAGGGAAGUUUGUGAAGGGAAACAACGACUCUGUACUCCGUGCUGAGCGAGACAUCGCCGCCAGAUGGGUUGAGAUGGAUACCUUUUAUAUGGAUGUCUACGCAGUGUCUAAUGCUGAAUUUGAACUGUUUGUUGAGGCAAAUAGCUACACGACAGAGGCUGAGAAGUUUGGUGAAUCGAUUGGAGAUGAGAGUGAGUUAUCAGAAGAAGUCAAAUCCACAAUAUAUGAAUCUUUUCUUGAGAUGACGUGGCAACUCCCUGUGAAGGGAGCUGAUUGGAGGCAUCCUGAAGGGCUGGACUCAAAUAUCACAGGUCGUAUGGACUAUCCAGUUGUUCACGUGUCCUGGAACGAUGCGGGAGCGUUCUGCUCCUGGAUGGGCAAGAGACUCCCAACAGAGGCGGAGUGGGAGAGAGCCUGUAAGGCCGGAAUACACGAAUUGAUAUUUUCCACUGGCGACAAAUAUAUGCCAAACAAUCAGUUCAGGGCCAGCAUGUGGCAGGGAACAUUCCCCUUCGAAGUCACAGGAGAAGACGGCUGCGCGGUCAAUUGUCCAGUGACAUCACACGCGCCUAACGGUUACGGCCUCCACAAUAUGUUGGGCAACGUCUGGGAGUGGACGUCUGACUUGUUUCUGGAAAGCGAUUAUCCCGGUCCUUACACUAAUCCGGGGAACGUGACGUUUGAUGAGCUGAGAGUCAUCAAGGGGGAAGCAAGGAGGUGUAAACAAAACGUCGGCUACAGAUAUAGCUGCGCUGAUAGGGAUGCCAACACCCCAGACAGCUCCGGCAGCCAAAUCGGCUUCAGAUGUGCUGCUGAUAAUCUCCCAGAUUACCUCAAGACAUAACACGUUUCUACGUUGCUCAAUGCAGGAUAAAUUAUACUAUUUGUGUGAUCCAUAAUUUAACAAGAGUUCAAGUUUGCGAUGCUGAUGGCUGUUCUGGCAGUGCUGUUCGCAGUCUUGGGGACUGCCAAUGGCUUCUUUAAAUAUAAAGAUUGUGUUCAAGCACGUCAUAGUGCCCGCGUUGCUCGCUCACCCGAUCCAAUCCCCGAUGCCUCUGCUCAAAAUAAGAGAAUAUAAAUAAGAAAAUGUGAUAAUAGGUACUCUGCGAGCCCCGCUCCUGUGCCAGGUAAGUUACGGGCUCACCAUAGCCUGUGCUACUUGGAACUUGUUCAGAAUAGCUGAAUCUAUAAACAACAACAACAGCAGGUACCCCGGAUGAUCCGUGCAUUAGCUCUCUUCUUAUAAAUAUAUAUAACUUAAAUAUCCAUAAUGUUCUUGCUGACCCCCACUACCACCGUGCCCACUGCCAGUGCCCACUACCGUGGAUGAAGGGCAAGGGGGGGGGGGGGGGAGUGGAACAUCAACGUGUCCACCACAAACACAGAGCCGUUGGUGACAGGGUACCAUGAAGGACUUGUUAUAAAAGCUUCGUGUAAUAUGAUGCAUCAUAAUAAACUUUUGCAUCAUUUAAGAGGAACAACUUUGCUGUUCUUACACUUCUGCUAAUGUGACAUUGUUAAUAAAGUGUAUUACUGUA